CUUCUCUUUCAAAAAAAUUUACCCUCUCUAAACUCAUCUCCCCCGAAAUUCCCACCACCGGCAUUCAUCUCCCCCCAAAACUGUUUGAUGUUCCUAAAGUGAAACUAUGUGCGCCUAUUUCUGAGUAUGUUUUAGGUGGGUUUGUUGAUUAGCUUGUUAAGCAGUCCUUGUUACCACCGGCGUUCUCCAGGUAGCCGACGCCGUCCAGUUAAACCACCAGCCGCCGCCGACUGAACAGUCAGCUGGGUUGUCAAUUGCCGGAGUUAAGGAAGAUUUGCUAGAUACAAGAAAGUAGCAGCAGAGAAAUCUAUGUGGGUCAGUUUGCUUGUGAUUUGAAACUUGAUGGAUAUUACAUCUCUUCUACUCUUUUUUAACCGACAGUAUGGUUCGAGCGCACUUGGAGGGCCUGUUUUGAAAUCUGCCAAGCAUAUAUGUUUGUUUCUCUUCUAAAUUAUAGCUUCUUCUGUGGUUUUCUUUUCUAAGUGUUAGUUUCUCAUUUAUUUAAAAAGAAAAAAUAAUUAAAUGUCAAUUAGGCAGGACUAAUGUAAAACAACAUACCCAUUAUAAUUUCACAAGUGGGGUUUGGGGAGGGUAUUGUCUAUACAGACCUUACCACAAGUUGAUUGGAAGUUAUAAUAAAAAUUGAUAGACAAAGAAAUCUAGUAGUCUGAUAAUGUCUUUCACUAGAUCCAUAUCUGGUUAAGUACUUAUUUGGUUAUUGGUGGUAAAUUGUAAUAUAUAUGUGUGUAAUAUCACAUUAUAUUACUUGAUCUAUUUUACUAAGUUGCGUGCUUCUUUGAGAUGAGAUAAAUUAGAAUAGAAAAUGGGUCUUUAUUAUACUGACA